GGUCCAGACAUGGUGUAAACAAUGCCACCACAACCCAUUAGUCAAUGAUUAGAAGCCUAAUGGCAUGGCACCAGAUCUAAUCUCAAUCUUGUGUUAAGUAUUCCUAUGCAUAUUGAAGAUUCAUUAUUAUCUCUAUCAAGGGCAUGGUCCUUUACACCUCUUCAGUUUUCCAAAUCAUAACUAAUAUGUGCCAUAUGUUUAUAUUUGGAAGUUCUUUCUAAGUGAUGCAUGACC
rnacentral:lncRNA from 1 species